ACACACACUCCUCCUCCAGUAUCUCUAGUGUUGAUCUCGGCUGGAUCUCUGUUCAUGGUUGCUAUAGUCCUUGGGAUCUUCUGCAUCUGCAGGAAAAGUAAAAACGUAUCAAUUCAGGCUCGUGAUGAAGAAAUAACGUAUGCAGAGACAACCUUCUACAAAGUAAAAAAUCGACACAAACCGAAAGUUGAAGAGGAGGGUCAUGUGGUUUAUGCUGAUGUCACCGUGAGAUGAUCAAACUUCAGUCCCAAAUCCUGCCGUUUGAUCCCGUCAUUUAAAAACUCUCGAAACAACCUCAGAUUCAAAGUCUACAGUUGAAAUGUUGGAUUGGUAAGAGUCAUCACAUGUAGCAAGAAUUCUGACAAAGAAAUAAAAUAAUGAUAAAUAAAUUAUAUGUGUAUUUACCAAAAGGGUAACACUGUGCUUAAAGGGGUGUGACUAACACCUUCAUAAUCAUGACAUGACAUAUGUUUUGCAUAAACCUCAUUCAUAUUCAUGACAUGCAUUGAGUCAUUAUU